GAGCAGUUUCAUAGCCCUAUUUCUGGCUGAGGAGGAGCCUGCCACAACCUGGGGCCAUGACCUUAAGAUGGCCCCUGGACAGUGGAACUCUCUGGUCCCUGUCCUGCUGUCUGUCGCGGUACCUGCCUUUCCUCUUGACACAGGACAAAGACCAUCUCAGGCCCCUGAUGGUAGGAGUGGGGGAGUGGGGGAGGUUCUGGGGAGGUGAGAAGUCACAGCUGGGACAGAACACAGACACUGGGUACCAUGUCAGACCUGGUGCCUUUCUCUUGCUCCCCUGAGCUCUUUCCUCCCAAUGGACCUGCUGCCAGGAGCAAGAACUGCAGGAGGCAUCGAUACUGUCCAGUCAGGAGCCCUGAGGAGGGGGAGGAGGUGGCAAGGCAGAGGCUGCAUCUCUUUUCUCAGCCUUCCUCUCUACUAGGAAUUUGCCGUGGGGAUGGGCCCACUAUGGGCUCCAGAAAUUCUCUCUCUCGGCAUCCAGAAGGGCUGCCAAGAGCCCUCCUCCCAAACUCCUAGUGGCUAUUUUCUCAUCGGGGUCCUCCAUAGGUUUCUCAGUGUGAGAGUAAAUGCUAGUCUGUGAGACCCAGUUCUCAUUGCCAGCUCCUGCUUCCCCAGGGGCGUUUGGGUAGCUGGGAAAGGGGCCAGACUGUCCUCUGGCGGGCACCCCCUGCUGGACAGAGGCCCAGCAUUCUGGUGGGGGACGGCUCCCUCCACCCCUGCCAGUGACUAGCAUCUCCACAGGGAUCCCGCAUGUAGCUGUCUCUUCUCUGGGAGGAGUCAAAGGCCAGCUCAGACAAAGGCCAGCUCAGAGGCCUGAAGGCGGCAGCACAGUCCUGGUCCGUUGCUCCACUUGCUGUCCCGGGAUUCCUGGCUCUUCAUCUUCUGCGCCCCUCCUCGAGGGCCCCUUCCUUCCCUUGCCUGGCCGUGCCUUCCUCUCAGCACUGAAGACCCUGGUCUCCAUGGGAGGAAAAUCACAAAGAGUCUUCAUUUAUUGAGUACCUACGGGUGAGUGGCCUUCCUCAGAGGCCUCCUGCGAAGCUGGGAGGUGCCACAAGAUGCUUUCUGCAUGGUCACCUCUAGGGUUUGCUCUGAACAGGGAGAGGGUUGCUGUAAAAGAGCAAGACUGACCUCCCCUCACAGGCAUCCUGUCUCACCAUGUGACCUCGUCCUCUCUUUACCACUUCUACAAUAGUGCUACCACCAUGUGAUGCAGAACCCUGCACCACACACCUUCUUUAGAGGCCUGAGACUGGCAAGGCCAGCUGUGCCACUACCUCUCAGCACUGGCUGUAACUUGGAGGUUCUAGCCCUGUUCAGCCCAGCGCAGUGACCCCGGCCUGAGCACAUGGUCCAUGGAGCAGAGCCACUCAUCUGAGCCAUGUCAACUGCAGAACCCUAAGACAUAAGAUGGCUUAAGAGCAACUUUGCGGUAGCAGUCACACAGCAGGUCAGGCUAAAAAUGCUUGGGAGUAUGGUCUCAAAUCACAAACUACAUAAAGCGAAGAGGAAUAAUUACUAUCAGUGAUUACCUUUCUGCUUUGUUUUCAGCUACUUCUCAGUUUUUAUGAAAUGAGCAUGUAUCACUUAAGGA